GACGAACGCUGGCGGCGUGCUUAACACAUGCAAGUCGAACGAAGAGCGAUGGAAGCUUGCUUCUAUCAAUCUUAGUGGCGAACGGGUGAGUAACGCGUAAUCAACCUGCCCUUCAGAGGGGGGCAACAGUUGGAAACGACUGCUAAUACCGCAUACGAUCUAACCUCGGCAUCGAGGAUAGAUGAAAGGUGGCCUCUACAUGUAAGCUAUCACUGAAGGAGGGGAUUGCGUCUGAUUAGCUAGUUGGAGGGGUAACGGCCCACCAAGGCGAUGAUCAGUAGCCGGUCUGAGAGGAUGAACGGCCACAUUGGGACUGAGACACGGCCCAGACUCCUACGGGAGGCAGCAGUGGGGAAUCUUCCGCAAUGGACGAAAGUCUGACGGAGCAACGCCGCGUGAGUGAUGACGGCCUUCGGGUUGUAAAGCUCUGUUAAUCGGGACGAAAGGCCUUCUUGCGAAUAGUUAGAAGGAUUGACGGUACCGGAAUAGAAAGCCACGGCUAACUA
rnacentral:rRNA from 1 species